ACACCUGAGUGAUGCAGUUGUGAAAGUCAUGCAGUGACUAUACGAGGAUCUCUCUGCAGGCUGCAGCCUGAGGCUCAGCUGCCCCCGGAGCAGCUCCCGAGCAACUGAAUUAUGAGCAGAAAGACAGGGAGCUCUUCAGGGAAAGGCUGGAGCAUGAACUUCUCAGGCCCUAGCCCUGAAAACAGACGGCAGAAGAUUAAAGCUGAAAAGCUGAAUGGCAGCUGGUAAAGCUGGUGGUACAUGAAGACCUCAUUGCAGAUGGGAAUGACAUCUGGGCAGCUCUGGUAAAUGAAGAGGUAGUUAUGGAAAAACACUGAUACUGAGCUUCAGCCAGUAACUCCCAUUUUCUGCUUACAGAAAGGUGAGAAGAGGAUGUGGCCUCACUGAUGAAUGCUGGCCACAGGAGUAUGUGAAAUGAGAGUUGAGCUGCCUGACCUUGGUCCUUUCUAUCCGUUAUAAGCUCCACUUGUUUCUACCCGGGUCAAGCAUAGAGAAGAUAUAUGGAUAUAUGGAUUUAGUCUUUGAAAGGAUGCAGAGUGAUCAUUUCAGUGCCUCAAAGCUCGUAGUUGGCUAAUCCCAAAAUCUUCCCAAGUGCCCACCUGGAUGAUGGCCCAUUUAUUACCCAGUCCACUGAGACCCAGAGCUUAAAAGACUGUGUUCUGUCCUCUGAAAGCAUAUUAUCAACACCAUCAGCGAAGGCACCAUGUGGAGGAAGUGCAGCUGAGAAUGCAAGUAAUGAAUGCUGUAUUACAAAGCUGAAUGUUUGCCCACACCUGGGACAUGGCUUUUGUUUUCCUGUGUGCCACCAGACACUGUCACUGCCAGGAAGAAUAUUUUGCUCAGUGAAACUGGGAAGCAAAUAAAUAACAAGAAGGAUAUGCUCACCACCUUGCAGUACAGAACCACGUAGCAAUAUCAGAGCACUAAUGUAAUUUAAACUUCAGCAUUCAGACAAGAACCCGGCAGUCUUAAGACAACAGCAAGAAGUAUGCACUGAUGGAAUCACCUGAGUUGAUAUAUCACCCACCUUGUCCUUUCUGACCACUGUGCUAGAGAAAGCCCCUGAGAUGUCUGAUGCUUCUAUCCAGAUGGAACUCCUAAGGAAGGACAGACAGUAGGAUGGCAAGGAGUGCCCAGACUCUUCU